GCUAAUCGUCUAGGACUUCAUGAGGGAUCUCUUUCACACCAUGAUAUGAAGGGUGAUGUUAACGGUAUUACACUGAUUGCUGACAUUGUCCUCUACUUCUCCCCCCAAUAUGAGCAAGAAUUUCCUCCUAUUCUGAUACGAGCUAUGUCGUUUGGAAUACCAAUUGUCGCGCCAGACUAUCCUGUUAUUAAGAAAUAUGUUGCUG
rnacentral:misc_RNA from 1 species